GCGGUGGAGUAUGUGGUUUAAUUCGAUGCAACGCGAAGAACCUUACCUGGUCUUGACAUCCCGGAGACCCUUAGGAAACUAGGGGUGCUUCCAUCUGGAAGAAUCUGGAGACAGGUGCUGCAUGGCUGUCGUCAGCUCGUGUCGUGAGAUGUUGGGUUAAGUCCCGCAACGAGCGCAACCCUUGCCUUUAGUUGCCAGCAGUUCGGCUGGGCACUCUAAAGGGACUGCCGGUGUUAAACCGGAGGAAGGUGGGGAUGACGUCAAGUCCUCAUGGCCUUUAUGACCAGGGCUACACACGUACUACAAUGGCCGAUACAAAGGGCAGCGACACUGCGAGGUGAAGCCAAUCCCGUAAAAUCGGUCUCAGUCCGGAUUGGAGUCUGCAACUCGACUCCAUGAAGUUGGAAUCGCUAGUAAUCGUGGAUCAGCAUGCCACGGUGAAUACGUUCCCGGGCCUU
rnacentral:rRNA from 1 species